rfam:Bacillus sp. TS-2 DNA, contig: BspTS2nb31.
UCCAUCGUGAGGUGGAAUCUGAAGGAAGCCCGAGGCAAACACUCGCAUUGACGAACAGAAAUCUCAUAUGAAGGCUGAAAUAGGAAGGACGAGCUUGCAUACCAAAGCGAAGUCCAAUACUGCCCAAAUUCUAUACAGUAAAUGAGGCAGUGACAUGAGUGGAAGGUUAUCACA